UGGUGGUAGUAGUAUUAGUAUUAGUAGUAGUUGUUGUUAUUGUUGUUGUUGUGGUAGUAGUAGUAGUGGUGCUGGUGGUGAUAGUAGUAGUAGUAGUGGUGGUGGUGGUGGUGGUGGUGGUGAUGGUGGUGGUGGUGGUGGAGGUUAACCAGCAGACAGUAUUUAACCAUGGUAUAUUAAUCAGUAAAUAUUUAAGACAACACUAUUGACAAGUAUUGUGUAAUGUGAGGUAACGGCACGGAUAACCACACUCACUGGCGAGGUCGGGGUCAAUGGACUGCUGUGAACGAUUUAUGUAUUACUAUUCAUUAAGCAGCUCGUUUUGUUGUAGUAGUAGUAGUAGUAGUAGUAGUAGUAGUAGUAGUAGUAGUAGUAGUAGUAGUAGUAGUAGUAACUGUCCCCCUCUUCUACACUGAAUAUCAUCAGUCUGUCCUUUACUUAUAAUCUAAACUGCAAACUUCACAUCUCAUCUCUAGCUAAAACAGCUUCUAUGGUGUUAGGUGUUCUGAGACGUUUCCGCCAGUUUUUUUUUUUUUUUUUUUUUUUACCUCCCCCCAGCUGCUAACUCUGUACAGGGGCCUUAUCCGUCCAUGUAUGGAAUAUGCUUCACAUGUCUGGGGGGGUUCCACUCAUACUGCUCUUCUAGACAGGGUGGAAUCAAAAGCUUUUCGUCUCAUCAACUCCUCUCCUCUAACUGACUGUCUUCAGCCUCUCUCUCAUCGCCGCAGUGUUGCAUCUCUAGCUGUCUUCUACCGCUAUUUUCAUGCUAACUGCUCUUCUGAUCUUGCUAACUGCAUGCCUCCUCUCCUCCCGCGGCCUCGCUGCACAACACUUUCUUCUUUCUCUCACCACUAUUCUGUCCACCUCCCUAAUGCAAGAGUUAACCAGUAUUCUCAGUCUUUCACCACUAUUCUGUCCACCUCCCCAAUGCAAGAGUUAACCAGUAUUCUCAGUCAUUCAUCCCUUUCUGUGGUAAACUCUGGAACUCCCUGCCUGCUUCUGUAUUUCCUCCUACCUGUGACUUAAACUCUUUUCAAGUAGUAGUAAUGAAAAUAAUGUGAUUUAACUCUCUCUCUCUCUCUCUCUCUCUCUCUCUCUCUCUCUCUCUCUCUCUCUCUCUCUCUCUCAGAUCAUGCCAGGUCACAGGUCAGACUUCCCUCACGCGCAGGUCAAGUAUAGGUCAAUGCCCCACCCCCCUGCCCCUUCCCGGCCCCCCCCUUCCUCUACUUCGACCACAGGGGGGUAGUGGAGGAGGGGGAGGUGUUUCAAUAUGGCCGCCGCGUCGCAUCACAUCCUCAAGACCUCAGCAAGAAAAAACCCGAAUUUCUGGUCAAAUCUCCGGAAAUUCAGAAAAGGUCACCAGAAUUUCUAGUCAAGUCACCCGAAAUUCUGAAGAAGGAUUCCGAAAUUCUGAGAUCUCCAGAUUUUCUGACAAAAACGCGGGAAAUUCUGGACGUGUCUCCAGAAUUUAGGACAGGAAAGCCAGAUAUACGGACCAAAUCUCCAGAAUUUCUGAAAAAAACUCCGGAAAAUUUUCAAAUGUCAUCACAGUAUUCUGAUUAUUCUGUUUAUUCCAUUUACCCUCCUCCCGCUCCUCCUCCUCCUCCUCCUCCUCCUAGAGAGAGAGAAUGGAUGAGGAAUGAGGAGGAAGAAGAGGAGGAUGACCGGCCUCUAGUAAUUGAUAUGGGAGAGGAAGAAGAGGAGGAGAAGGAAGAAGAGGAAAGACAAGAGGAGGAAGAAGAGCAAGCGAUGGAUCUCAGGAUAAACAGAGAUCCCCGCGGGCCGAACCCCUCACAACCCCCCCAAACUCUCCCCCCCCCAGCACCUUACCUAGGCAAGAUUUCAUCGAGAAGAAAAAGAGAUCGAGGGCCUAAGUCAUGGGAGUUUUUGAUGCGGUUGUUAGCAGACCCGAGAACCAACCCAGAUGUCAUAAGAUGGGAGGACAGGUCACGAUACACAUUUCGCCUCGUCCAGCCCCAGGUCAUCGCCUCUCUCUGGGGUCAAAGGUCAAACAAGCGAACUCUCACCUAUAAUAACUUCGCUAGAGCUCUGAGGUACCACUACCACACCAAGUAUCUCAUCCGAGUGUCUGAGCGUCAGCUGGUGUAUGGGUGUGGACAACCCGCCAUACAGUUUCUCAAUACAAUCCUGCACCAGCACUGAGAGAGAGAGAGAGAGAGAGAGAGAGAGAGAGAGAGAGAGAGAGAGAGAGAGAGAGAGAGAGAGAGAGAGAGAGAGAGAGAGAGAGAGAGAGAAUUUACUUUAUUUUCUGUAGAUUUCAAAUAACUUUCAUUGUCAUUAUUAUUGCUAUCAUUAUUAUUACUAUUAUUAUUAUUAUUGUUAUUAUUAUUAUUAUUAUUAUUUUUAUUAUUAUUAAAGUGUUUUUGUAAAGAA